rnacentral:rRNA from 1 species
UACGGGGGGGGCAAGCGUUGUUCGGAAUUACUGGGCGUAAAGGGCUCGUAGGCGGCCAACUAAGUCGGACGUGAAAUCCCCAGGCUCAACCUGGGAACUGCGUCUGAUACUGGAUGGCUUGAAUCCGGGAGAGGGAUGCAGAAUUCCAGGUGUAGCGGUGAAAUGCGUAGAUAUCUGGAGGAACACCGGUGGCGAAGGCGGCAUCCUGGACCAACACUGACGCUGAGGAGCGAAAGCCAGGGGAGCAAACGGG